rnacentral:rRNA from 1 species
GACGAACGCUGGGCGGCGUGGAUUAGGCAUGCAAGUCGAACGGUAGGAUACCUUCGGGUAUCUGAGAGUGGCGAACGGGUGAGUAACACGUAGGUGAUCUACCCUCAAGAUUGGACAACCCAGGGAAACUUGGGCUAAUACCGGAUGAAAGCAGCAGUGAUGUUGUUUGAAAGGUGGCGUAAGCUGCCGUUUGGGGAUGAGCCUGCGCUCUAUUAGUUAGUUGGCGGGGUAAAGGCCCACCAAGGCGAUGAUAGAUAGGCGGCCUUAACGGGUGGUCGCCCACACUGGGAUUGAGAUACGGCCCAGACUCCUACGGGAGGCAGCAGUCGAGAAUAGUCUACAAUGGCCGAAAGGCUGAUAGUGCGACGCCGCGUGAACGAAGAAGCCCUUCGGGGUGUAAAGUUCUUUUAUAUGUGAGCAGUGCUUUCUAUGUGAACAGCAUGGGGAGAGAGAUAUUAGCAUAUGAAUAAGCAACGGCUAACUCCGUG